rnacentral:rRNA from 1 species
UACGGGGGGGGCAAGCGUUGUUCGGAAUUAUUGGGCGUAAAGGGUGCGUAGGCGGGUCUUUAAGUCAGGGGUGAAAUCCUGGAGCUCAACUCCAGAACUGCCUUUGAUACUGAGGAUCUUGAGUCCGGGAGAGGUGAGUGGAACUGCGAGUGUAGAGGUGAAAUUCGUAGAUAUUCGCAAGAACACCAGUGGCGAAGGCGGCUCACUGGCCCGGUACUGACGCUGAGGUGCGAAAGCGUGGGGAGCAAACAGG